CAGAGCAUCACUUUUGACAACGACUAAUGGAUCAUACUACCUUUGUGGGAGUCUGAGAAUCCAGCAAAGAAGUUCCAACACACUUUUGGGGAAAAAAAAUCUGAGAAAAGCACACUAAAGAGGGAAAACUGAGCCCCAGAUCUCCUGGCCAUCUCACUGGGAGUCGGGAAAAGGCCCGACUGCUUCCAUAACAGACAGCAAGAAGCCCUGCACCUCUACAGGCAACCCGUGGCACAGGGACACAUAUUCAUUUUGGUCUGUUUAAGAAAUUGAUGCAUAACGAUUGUGCAUAUUUAUGGGGUACAUACAGUGUGAUGUUUUGGUACAUGUAUGCAUUGUGUAAUAAUCAGCUCAGGGUAAUUAGUGUACCCAUCUCUGCCAGCAUCUACCACUUCUUUGUAGUGGGAACAUUCAAAAUUCUCACUUCUAGCUAUUUUGACAUAUAAAACACCUUACUGUUGACGUAGUCACCCUACUGUGUGAUAGGACACCAGAACAUUCUGGUCUUCACCGACACCUUCUCCUGGAAGUGCUACUGCCAUCCCCACCUUAUGAGAAUGGGCCCGGGCUUCUGGGUGCAAACCACCUCCCUUACCCCAUCAGCUGAGAGUUCACUGAUGCUGUGAGGAGCCAAGAGAAACUUCACUCUCAUGUCAUUUUGGCUCCAAGCAUUCCCCGCUGAGGUAUUGGAGCUUUGCCUGCAGUUUACCCCUGAGGAGUGAAUCUGGAUUCUCUAAAUUAAGACCCAUUUGUUUACGAGAUAAAGAACCAAAUUCUAGCUCCUUUUGGAGUGAGGAUGAUGAUCCAUUCCAAACAAAUCCCACCCACCAGACCUCCCAGCCCCUUCCCUGGUUUGUUUCCAUCCAUGUCACUUUCCCCCAUCACCUAACUUAGGUAUUUGAUUUAUGUGCUCAUCAGCUGUUCCCCUUCCCCAAUGCCUGUCAUCACCAGUAUAGUGAGGGGGCUCUGUGAGGGUAAGGAUUCACUCUGUUCUGUACCCCGCUAUUUCUCUGAUGCCUAGCACAUUCCUUGGUACAUAAUAGGCUCCCCACCUGUGUCUGUUGAGUGAAUAAUAUGUAUAAAUGAAUGAAUGAAUAAAUGCACAUACUCCCUUC
rnacentral:lncRNA from 10 species